UACGGGGGGAGCAAGCGUUGUUCGGAUUUACUGGGCGUAAAGGGCGCGUAGGCGGUCAGCACAAGUCAGUUGUGAAAUCUCCGGGCUUAACUCGGAAAGGUCAACUGAUACUGUGCGACUAGAGUGCGGAAGGGGCAACUGGAAUUCUCGGUGUAGCGGUGAAAUGCGUAGAUAUCGAGAGGAACACCUGCGGCGAAGGCGGGUUGCGUGGGCCGACACUGACGCUGAUGCGCGAAAGCCAGGGGAGCGAACGGG
rnacentral:rRNA from 1 species